rnacentral:tRNA from 1 species
UUUAAGGUGGCAGAUUAGUGCAUUGGAUUUAAGAUCCAAAUAUGAAGGUUUAAAUCCUUUUCUUAAAA